rnacentral:rRNA from 1 species
CAGUCGCCACGGUAAUACGAAGGGGGCUAGCGUUGCUCGGAAUUACUGGGCGUAAAGGGCGCGUAGGCGGCACUGUUAGUCAGGCGUGAAAUUCCCGGGCUCAACCUGGGGACUGCGCUUGAUACGGCAGAGCUUGAGGAUGGAAGAGGGUCGUGGAAUUCCCAGUGUAGAGGUGAAAUUCGUAGAUAUUGGGAAGAACACCGGUGGCGAAGGCGGCGACCUGGUCCAUUACUGACGCUGAGGCGCGACAGCGUGGGGAGCAAACAGGAUUAGAUACCCCAGUAGUCCCUGUCUCUUAUAC